CACGUAGGGCGCAAGCGUUGUCCGGAAUUAUUGGGCGUAAAGAGCUCGUAGGCGGUCUGUUGCGUCUGCCUGUGAAAACCCGGGGCUUAACCCCUGGCUUGCAGUGGAUACGGACAGACUAGAGGUAGGUAGGGGCCGCGGGAACUUCCGGUGGAGCGGUGAAAUGCGUUGAUAUCGGAAGGAACGCCGGUGGCGAAAGCGCGCGGCUGGCCCUCAACUGACGCUGAGGCGGCGAAAGCGUGGGGAGCAAACAGG
rnacentral:rRNA from 1 species